UGAUUUGUGGUUUGUUUUUAGGGAUUUUUUAACCUGGCCCUGCUAAUCGAGGAAGGUACUAUAAUCCCACACCAUAUCUUGGAUUUCUUGGAAAUUGACUCAACUCUCCAUUCUAAUAACAUCUCCAUUCUCCAGGAACUGUACGAAAGGUGCUGGAGCCACAGUAAUGAGGAGUCCUUCAGCCCCUGCUCCUUGGCCUGGCUUUACCUGCACUUGCGGCUUCUCUGGGGUGCUGUCCUGCACUCAGCCCUGAUCUACUUUCUGGGAACCUUUCUGCUGUCCAUAUUGAUCGCCUGGACUGUGCAGUAUUUCCAGUCUGUCUCAGGUAAAGAUUUGUAAAAAGCGAAAGCAAUAUAU